AUUGAACGCUGGCGGCGUGCCUAAUACAUGCAAGUCGAACGAUCACACGAAUAGCUUUCUCCUCUUACUUACGCGGCGGGCGGGUGAGUGACAUGUUUGUAACCCAGCUAUAUGACUGGGGUUACUUCGGGAAAACGGUACCUAUAACGGCUAAUAUUCUUCGCCUCAUAGUUCGAUACUUUAAGACGGUCUGCCUUAAACUUAGCGCUAGAGCCGCGCCGGAUUAGCUAGUUGGUAAGGUAACGGCUUACCAAGGCGACGAUGCGUAGCCGACCUGAGAGGGUGAUCGGCCACACUGGAACUGAGACACGGUCCAGACUCCUACGGGAGGCAGCAGUAGGGAAUAUUCCGCAAUGGGGGAAAGCCUGACGGAGCCACGCCGCGUGAGUGAUGAAGGUCUUCGGGUCGUAAAGCUCUGUUAUUAGGGAGGAACGAAUGUGUAAGUAAAGAUGCACGUAUUGACGGUACCUAAUCAGAAAGCACCGGCUAACUCCGUG
rnacentral:rRNA from 1 species